rnacentral:tRNA from 1 species
GAAGUGGUGGUUUAGCGGUGGAAUUCUUGCCUUCCAUGCACGAAAUCUGGGUUUGAUUCCCAGCUAGUGCG